AAGCAGUACCGUAAGGAGCUGUGGACUAUAUGGAAGAGAGAAUGCCGGAAUGAGUAGCGAGAUAGAGGUGGGAAUCCUCUAGGCCGAAUAUCCAAGGUUUCCAGGGUAAAGCUGAUCUGCCCUGGGUGAGUCGGGACCUAAGGUGAGGGCGGGAGCCGUAGCCGAUGGACAACAGGUUGAUAUUCCUGUACUGCACUAUAACAGAACUGUGGGGACACGUAAGGAGAGCGGGAGCCGGGAAUGGAAAGCCCGGUACAAGCGAGGUACCAGUAUGGUAGGAAAAUCCGCCAUGCAAUGGGAAGACGUGAUGUGGAGUGAAAUAUAGUAACGAAGCCCGUGAGCCAUGCGUCAAGAAAAGCCGCUAUUGUUUAUAUUGUACCCGUACCGUAAACCGACACAGGUGGAUGAGGAGAGAAUCCUAAGGCCGGCGGAAGAAGUAUUGCCAAGGAACUCGGCAAAAUGGCCCCGUAACUUAGGGAGAAGGGGUGCCUGCGAGAGCAGGCCGCAGAGAAUAGGCUCAAGCAACUGUUUAGCAAAAACACAGGUCUAUGCGAAACCGAAAGGUGAGGUAUAUGGGCUGACGCCUGCCCGGUGCUGGAAGGUUAAGAGGAGAGGUUAGACGCAAGUCGAAGCUUUGAAUUUAAGCCCCAGUAAACGGCGGCCGUAACUAUAACGGUCCUAAGGUAGCGAAAUUCCUUGUCGGGUAAGUUCCGACCCGCACGAAAGGCGUAAUGAUUUGAGCGCUGUCUCGGCAAUACAUCCGGUGAAAUUGAAGUGCCAGUGAAGAUGCUGGCUACCCGCGCCAGGACGGAAAGACCCCAUGGAGCUUUACUCCAGUUUGGCACUGGGGUCCGGUGUUGCAUGUACAGGAUAGGUGGGAGGCUGAGAAACGGUAGCGUCAGUUGCCGCGGAGCCGCUGUUGGGAUACCACCCUUGUGAUAUUGGGCUUCUAACCAGCCGCCGUAAUCCGGCGGUGGGACAAUGCCAGGCGGGGAGUUUGACUGGGGCGGUCGCCUCCGAAAGGGUAUCGGAGGCGCCCAAAGGUUCCCUCAGAAUGGACGGAAACCAUUCGAAGAGUGCAAAGGCAGAAGGGAGCUUGACUGCGACACCGACGGGUGGAGCAGGUACGAAAGUAGGGCUUAGUGAUCCGGUGGUAUUAAGUGGGAAUGCCAUCGCUCAACGGAUAAAAGCUACCCUGGGGAUAACAGGCUUAUCACUCCCAAGAGUUCACAUCGACGGAGUGGUUUGGCACCUCGAUGUCGGCUCAUCGCAUCCUGGGGCUGUAGUA
rnacentral:rRNA from 1 species